rnacentral:rRNA from 1 species
GAUGAACGCUAGCGGGAGGCCUAACACAUGCAAGCCGAGCGGUAUUGUUUCUUCGGAAAUGAGAGAGCGGCGUACGGGUGCGGAACACGUGUGCAACCUGCCUUUAUCUGGGGGAUAGCCUUUCGAAAGGAAGAUUAAUACUCCAUAACAUAUUGAUUGGCAUCAAUUAAUAUUGAAAGCUCCGGCGGAUAGAGAUGGGCACGCGCAAGAUUAGCUAGUUGGUGAGGUAACGGCUCACCAAGGCGAUGAUCUUUAGGGGGCCUGAGAGGGUGAUCCCCCACACUGGUACUGAGACACGGACCAGACUCCUACGGGAGGCAGCAGUGAGGAAUACUGGUCAAUGGGUGCAAGCCUGAACCAGCCAUCCCGCGUGAAGGACGACUGCCCUAUGGGUUGUAAACUUCUUUUGUAUAGGGAUAAACCUACCCUCGUGAGGGUAGCUGAAGGUACUAUACGAAUAAGCACCGGCUAACUCCGUGCCAGCAGCCGCGGCAAUACGGAGGGUGCAAGCGUUAUCCGGAUUUAUUGGGUUUAAAGGGUCCGUAGGCGGACUUAUAAGUCAGUGGUGAAAGCCUGUCGCUUAACGAUAGAACUGCCAUUGAUACUGUAAGUCUUGAGUAUAUUUGAGGUAGCUGGAAUAAGUAGUGUAGCGGUGAAAUGCAUAGAUAUUACUUAGAACACCAAUUGCGAAGGCAGGUUACCAAGAUAUAACUGACGCUGAGGGACGAAAGCGUGGGGAGCGAACAGGAUUAGAUACCCUGGUAGUCCACGCCGUAAACGAUGCUAACUCGUUUUUGGGCUUUAGGGUUCAGAGACCAAGCGAAAGUGAUAAGUUAGCCACCUGGGGAGUACGCUCGCAAGAGUGAAACUCAAAGGAAUUGACGGGGGCCCGCACAAGCGGUGGAUUAUGUGGUUUAAUUCGAUGAUACGCGAGGAACCUUACCAAGACUUAAAUGGGAAUUGACAGCUUUAGAAAUAGAGCUUUCUUCGGACAAUUUUCAAGGUGCUGCAUGGUUGUCGUCAGCUCGUGCCGUGAGGUGUUAGGUUAAGUCCUGCAACGAGCGCAACCCCUGUCACUAGUUGCCAUCAUUCAGUUGGGGACUCUAGUGAGACUGCCUACGCAAGUAGAGAGGAAGGUGGGGAUGACGUCAAAUCAUCACGGCCCUUACGUCUUGGGCCACACACGUAAUACAAUGGCCGGUACAGAGGGCAGCUACACAGCGAUGUGAUGCAAAUCUCGAAAGCCGGUCUCAGUUCGGAUUGGAGUCUGCAACUCGACUCUAUGAAGCUGGAAUCGCUAGUAAUCGCGCAUCAGCCAUGGCGCGGUGAAUACGUUCCCGGGCCU